rnacentral:misc_RNA from 1 species
UCCGGCUUAUCACCGGCAGUUUCCUUAUAGUUCCCGGCCGUUACCGCUGGCAAAUAAGGAUGAGGGUUGCGCUCGUUGCGGGACUUAACCCAACAUCUCACGACACGAGCUGACGACAGCCAUGCAACACCUGUGUGUGGUCCAGCCGAACUGAAGGAAAGCAUCUCUGCGAUCCGCGACCACCAUGUCAAGGGUUGGUAAGGUUUUUCGCGUAACAUCGAAUUAAACCGCAUGCUCCACCGCUUGUGCGAGCCCCCGUCAAUUCCUUUGAGUUUUAAUCUUGCGACCGUACUCCCCAGGCGGAGUGCUUAACGCGUUAGCUACGAAACCGAAAGAAUUUCUCCCGAUAUCUAGCACUCAUCGUUUACAGCGUGGACUAC